UUUGGGAUAUUCCACAAUGGGCGCAAGCCUGAUGGAGCGACACCGCGUGAAGGAUGAAGGUCUUCGGAUUGUAAACUUCUUUAGACGCAGAUGAAGAUGGCGGGGUGAACAAUCCCGUCAUUUGACAGUAUGCGUAGAAUAAGCCACGGCUAACUCUGUGCCAGCAGCCGCGGUAAUACAGAGGUGGCAAACGUUGUCCGGAUUUAUUGGGUGUAAAGGGCAUGUAGGUGGUUUUGUAAGUCAAAGGUGAAAUGGUUCGGCUCAACCGGAUCAUUGCCUUUGAAACUGCAGAACUUGAGUACGGAAGAGGAGAGCGGAAUUCCCAGUGUAGCGGUGAAAUGCGUAGAUAUUGGGAGGAACACCGGUGGCGAAAGCGGCUCUCUGGUCCGAAACUGACACUGAGAUGCGAAAGCCAGGGGAGCAAACGGGAUUAGAUACCCGUGUAGUCC
rnacentral:rRNA from 1 species